rnacentral:rRNA from 1 species
UACGUAGGGGGCAAGCGUUGUCCGGAAUCAUUGGGCGUAAAGCGCGCGUAGGCGGCCAGAUUAGUCCGGUGUGAAAGUCAGAGGCUCAACCUUUGAAUGCCGCUGGAAACUGUCUGGCUUGAGUCCGGAAGGGGCGAGUGGAAUUCCUGGUGUAGCGGUGAAAUGCGCAGAUAUCAGGAGGAACACCAAUGGCGAAGGCAGCUCGCUGGAACGGUACUGACGCUGAGGCGCGAAAGCCAGGGGAGCGAACGGG